GGCCUUAUGGCGCAAUGGGUUAGUCUCUUAAUUACCCUACGUUGUUGCUUUCGCUAACAGUUUUCUAGUAGCGCGUCAGAUUCCAGUCAUAUUGGGACAUCCUGAAGGUUUUGCGUUCGAAUCGCAAUAGGGUCA